AGCAUACGUUUUAUGUAUUCUGCAAAAAUACAGGUGAUAAAUUUGUUGUUUAUCUAUGCUUU
rnacentral:tRNA from 1 species